rnacentral:rRNA from 1 species
UCCAGACUCCUACGGGAGGCAGCAGUGGGGGAUAUUGCACAAUGGGGGGAACCCUGAUGCAGCGACGCCGCGUGGGUGAAGGAGCGUUUCGGCGCGUAAAGCCCUAUCGGCAGGGAAGAAGGAGGACGGUACCUGACUAAGAAGCCCCGGCUAACUACGUGCCAGCAGCCGCGGUAAUACGUAGGGGGCAAGCGUUAUCCGGGUUUACUGGGUGUAAAGGGGGCGCAGACGGCAGCGCAAGCCAGGAGUGAAAGCCCGGGGCCCAACCCCGGGACUGCUCUUGGAACUGCGCGGCUGGAGUGCAGGAGGGGCAGGCGGAAUUCCUGGUGUAGCGGUGAAAUGCGUAGAUAUCAGGAGGAACACCGGUGGCGAAGGCGGCCUGCUGGCCUGCGACUGACGUUGAGGCCCGAAAGCGUGGGGAGCAAACAGGAUUAGAUACCCUUGUA